UACGUGCCAGCAGCCGCGGUAAUACGUAGGUGGCAAGCGUUGUCCGGAAUUAUUGGGCGUAAAGCGCGCGCAGGCGGAUUGGUCAGUCUGUCUUAAAAGUUCGGGGCUUAACCCCGUGAUGGGAUGGAAACUGCCAAUCUAGAGUAUCGGAGAGGAAAGUGGAAUUCCUAGUGUAGCGGUGAAAUGCGUAGAUAUUAGGAAGAACACCAGUGGCGAAGGCGACUUUCUGGACGAAAACUGACGCUGAGGCGCGAAAGCCAGGGGAGCGAACGGGAUUAGAUACCCCGGUAGUCCUGGCCGUAAACGAUGGGUACUAGGUGUAGGAGGUAUCGACCCCUUCUGUGCCGGAGUUAACGCAAUAAGUACCCCGCCUGGGGAGUACGACCGCAAGGUUGAAACUCAAAGGAAUUGACGGGGGCCCGCACAAGCGGUGGAGUAUGUGGUUUAAUUCGACGCAACGCGAAGAACCUUACCAGGUCUUGACAU
rnacentral:rRNA from 1 species